rnacentral:misc_RNA from 1 species
GUGCUCAAAACAUCAUCCAUAUUCUCUAACCAUAAAAUGCAUCUCCUCAGUUUAUGCUUAAGCCAAUCAUUUUUUGUAAAGGAACAGGCUUCAAUCCAAAACUUAUUACAAUGACUAACGGGAAGAAUAUUUAUACACACAUCAAAGUCUUAUUCAUCUCCACCAAACUGAGUAGAAUUACCAUUCCAGAAUGUGUUUUUGUCACCAGACUGAUUUUCAUCUUCAUCAUGUUUCAGGGUGUGGAUGUUGCUCCCAAAGCUAGAUGACGCUCGCUUUCUACCUCUGUUAUUAGUUGUGGAAGUUUUACUUACCAGGCUCUGAUUAUUUUGAGGUGUGGAUGAGUUUGGACCAUAUUGCCAUAUGCUAUCUCGAGCAGUGUUUGAUGUGUUAGAACUUCCACCAAGGUAAGAUAAAGGAUUUACAUACGAAAAGAGUUUUCUGAUCGUAGCAAAAUAUCCUGCAUCGCCUCCAAUUGUUGUAUGGUUACUCUCAGCCGGAUUGUUUAGACCAUGCAAUGAUGUAACAUCCACUUUGUUACGAAGAACGAUUAUCAGUGCUUGCCUAUUGUGUAAACCCAAAUCUGACAAUGUUCUAUCUAGAUCUUCAUCACCAAAAACCUUGCGAGGAUAAGGAACUGCUAGAUCAUAAUAACCAAUGCUGCUUGUUUGGUUUUUAUCAACAUAGUGCUUGACCAUCCUUAAAGUAUCUACAACGAGAAACUUCACUUGUAAACUUGAACCAUCAGGCAAUCUAAUGUUUAAACAAACAUCAUGAAAUAUAUUUGACGAAUCAUCUGACUCAGCAGCUGCAUCUUCAACUAUAUUUAUCUCGGGGUCUUUCCCUGCUUUAUUUGCAAUCUCUCUAGGAGCUUCAUCACUAGGGUCCAAAUGUUGAUCACGCAAACCAGGAUUCUCUUUUGACAUUGAACAUUCAUCUUUACCCUUGUUUGAAUCUACUUCUACAAGAUCAAGUGGUUUUUCUGCUGUUGUGAUCACAGUGGUAGACUCAUUGAAGUCACCAAUUCUAGAUUCAAAGGCAUCUGCUGAUCCAUGAGAAUCCAUGUCAAUCAGCGAGGAAUCUAUGUCCAUAGCAGCAUGUCCAGGAUCCUCUCCCUCUACUAUCUGAGAGUUUUUAGACAGUGUAGCCAAUGGAGAUUGAAUAUGUGUAAUCGCCUGAGCUGGUGAAACUUGAGCACUUGAAGAACUCCCUACUUCAGCUGUUACAGAAGAAGCUCCAGAUACAAGAUCUUUCCUUGAAGCAAGUGCAGCAGUCAACAAAGUAGUUGUUGUAUCCUGAACAUGAAGACUUAACCACGCCUUCUCAAGACUAGAUGCAAGAUUUUCAGCAGAAACAAAACCCCCGUGUUGCCAUAGUUGAACACCAUUGUAUCCAAUAACUGUAAUACAAGGGAUAGCCUCCUGUGGAUACAAUGCUGAGAAGUUUCUGGCAUCAGUACUUCCUUCUAGGAUGUGCAACAAAAUGCAGUACUUAGAUAUAGAAUCAGCAACUCUUGGGUCAAGCCAAGUUGAUGUUUCCGAUUGAUUUGAUUCCAUAUUGCCACCUGAAACAAGAACUACAAAAAGCUUCUUCUUCUGCUUGGCUUCAGUGAUGGCUUCUACAGUAGAACCAUUGAACACGAGAGGAGAUAAAAGUUGCUCCAUAGAGUAAUCCAUAGUUCAAACAAACGCAAGCAGCUUGAUUGCGCCUUCACUCCGAUCAAUCGGAAUUUUGAGCCAAAACUCUAAAAUGAAUGCUUUUCAAACAAGGGUGGAAACGGUUUUUUACCGAAAACCGGUAAAACGAAAAACACUUUUGAGUUUCAUUUCAUAUAUGUAAA